rnacentral:rRNA from 1 species
UACGUAGGUGACCAGCGUUGUCCGGAUUUACUGGGCGUAAAGAGCGCGCAGGCGGUCGUUCAAGUCGAGUGUGAAAGCCCCCGGCUCAACUGGGGAGGGUCACUCGAUACUGAUCGACUUGAAGGCAGGAGAGGGAAGCGGAAUUCCCGGUGUAGUGGUGAAAUGCGUAGAUAUCGGGAGGAACACCAGUGGCGAAGGCGGGUUCCUGGCCUGUUCUUGACGCUGAGGCGCGAAAGCUAGGGGAGCAAACGGG